rnacentral:rRNA from 1 species
ACGGAAGGCAGCAGUGGGGAAUAUUGGGCAAUGGGCGCAAGCCUGACCCAGCAACGCCGCGUGAAGGAAGAAGGCUUUCGGGUUGUAAACUUCUUUUAUCAGGGACGAAGAAAGUGACGGUACCUGAUGAAUAAGCCACGGCUAACUACGUGCCAGCAGCCGCGGUAAUACGUAGGUGGCAAGCGUUGUCCGGAUUUACUGGGUGUAAAGGGCGCGUAGGCGGGAUAGCAAGUCAGAUGUGAAAUCCAUGGGCUCAACCCAUGAACUGCAUUUGAAACUGUUAUUCUUGAGUGUCGGAGAGGUAGAUGGAAUUCCUAGUGUAGCGGUGAAAUGCGUAGAUAUUAGGAGGAACACCAGUGGCGAAGGCGAUCUACUGGGCUUUUACUGACGCUGAGGCACGAAAGCAUGGGUAGCAAACAGGAUUAGAUACCCUGGUA